rnacentral:rRNA from 1 species
UACGUAGGGCGCAAGCGUUGUCCGGAAUUAUUGGGCGUAAAGAGCUCGUAGGCGGUUUGUCGCGUCUGCUGUGAAAACUCGAGGCUCAACCUCGGGCUUGCAGUGGGUACGGGCAGACUAGAGUGCGGUAGGGGUGACUGGAAUUCCUGGUGUAGCGGUGGAAUGCGCAGAUAUCAGGAGGAACACCGAUGGCGAAGGCAGGUCACUGGGCCGCAACUGACGCUGAG